rnacentral:RNase_P_RNA from 1 species
CUAGGCGGCUGGGCGACCGCCGUCCCACUAGCACCGCGUCCUGCCCUUCGGGUCGGAUCGCGAAAUGCGGCGGGAGGGAGGAAAGUCCGAGCACCGCACGGUAGGAUGCCCGCUAACGGCGGGGCGGGGUAACCCGACGGAAAGUGCCACAGAAAUACACCGUCCGCCAUUGGCGGAUAAGGGUGAAAUGGCGAGGUAAGAGCUCACCGCCCCGGUGGUAACAUCGGGGGUCCAGGCAAACCCCAUCCGGUGCAAGGCCUAAUAGAGGGGCUAAGGGUAUCCGGCCCAUCCCCGGGUUGGCCGCUUGACCCCGUCGGCAACGGCGGGGCUAGAUAGAUGGUUGCCACCUGGUCUAAGAUCGGGAUGAAGCACCGCCUCGGCGGGGCGUAAACUGAUCGAAGGUCGGGAACAGAACUCGGCUUACAGGCCGCCUCGCGCU